rnacentral:rRNA from 1 species
CCAGACUCCUACGGGAGGCAGCAGUGGGGAAUAUUGCACAAUGGGCGGAAGCCUGAUGCAGCAACGCCGCGUGCGGGAUGACGGCCUUCGGGUUGUAAACCGCUUUCGCCUGUGACGAAGCGUGAGUGACGGUAAUGGGUAAAGAAGCACCGGCUAACUACGUGCCAGCAGCCGCGGUGAUACGUAGGGUGCGAGCGUUGUCCGGAUUUAUUGGGCGUAAAGGGCUCGUAGGUGGUUGAUCGCGUCGGAAGUGUAAUCUUGGGGCUUAACCCUGAGCGUGCUUUCGAUACGGGUUGACUUGAGGAAGGUAGGGGAGAAUGGGAUUCCUGGUGGAGCGGUGGAAUGCGCAGAUAUCAGGAGGAACACCAGUGGCGAAGACGGUUCUCUGGGCCUUUCCUGACGCUGAGGAGCGAAAGCGUGGGGAGCGAACAGGCUUAGAUACCCUGGUAGUCCACGCUGUAAACGGUGGGUACUAGGUGUGGGGUCCAUUCCGCGGGUUCCGUGCCGUAGCUAACGCUUUAAGUACCCCGCCUGGGGAGUACGGCCGCAAGGCUAAAACUCAAAGGAAUUGACGGGGGCCCGCACAAG